ACCUUACCAAAUCUUGACAUCCUUUGACAACUCUAGAGAUAGAGCUUUCCCCUUCGGGGGACAAAGUGACAGGUGGUGCAUGGUUGUCGUCAGCUCGUGUCGUGAGAUGUUGGGUUAAGUCCCGCAACGAGCGCAACCCUUAAGCUUAGUUGCCAUCAUUAAGUUGGGCACUCUAAGUUGACUGCCGGUGACAAACCGGAGGAAGGUGGGGAUGACGUCAAAUCAUCAUGCCCCUUAUGAUUUGGGCUACACACGUGCUACAAUGGACAAUACAAAGGGCAGCGAAACCGCGAGGUCAAGCAAAUCCCAUAAAGUUGUUCUCAGUUCGGAUUGUAGUCUGCAACUCGACUACAUGAAGCUGGAAUCGCUAGUAAUCGUAGAUCAGCAUGCUACGGUGAAUACGUUCCCGGGUCUUGUACACACCGCCCGUCACACCACGAGAGUUUGUAACACCCGAAGCCGGUGGAGUAACCAUUUGGAGCUAGCCGUCGAAGGUGGGACAAAUGAUUGGGGUGAAGUCGUAACAAGGUAGCCGUAUCGGAAGGUGCGGCUGGAACACCUCCUUCUAA
rnacentral:rRNA from 1 species